AUUGAACGCUGGCGGCAUGCCUUACACAUGCAAGUCGAACGGUAACGGGCCUUCGGGUGCCGACGAGUGGCGAACGGGUGAGUAAUACAUCGGAACGUGCCCGAUCGUGGGGGAUAACGAGGCGAAAGCUUUGCUAAUACCGCAUACGAUCUACGGAUGAAAGCAGGGGACCGCAAGGCCUUGCGCGGACGGAGCGGCCGAUGGCAGAUUAGGUAGUUGGUGGGAUAAAAGCUUACCAAGCCGACGAUCUGUAGCUGGUCUGAGAGGAUGAUCAGCCACACUGGGACUGAGACACGGCCCAGACUCCUACGGGAGGCAGCAGUGGGGAAUUUUGGACAAUGGGCGCAAGCCUGAUCCAGCCAUGCCGCGUGCAGGAUGAAGGCCUUCGGGUUGUAAACUGCUUUUGUACGGAACGAAAAGCCUUCUUUUAAUACAGGAGGGUCAUGACGGUACCGUAAGAAUAAGCACCGGCUAACUGCGUG
rnacentral:rRNA from 1 species